rnacentral:rRNA from 1 species
UGAACGCUGGCGGCGUGCUUAACACAUGCAAGUCGAACGAACCUUCGGGUUAGUGGCGGACGGGUGAGUAACGCGUGGGAAUCUGCCCUCAGGAGGGGGAUAACGGUUGGAAACGACCGCUAAUACCCCAUAUGCCGAGAGGUGAAAUGAAUUUCGCCUGAGGAUGAGCCCGCGUCUGAUUAGCUAGUUGGUGUGGUAAUGGCGCACCAAGGCUUCGACCAGUAGCUGGUCUGAGAGGAUGAUCAGCCACACUGGGACUGAGACACGGCCCAGACUCCUACGGGAGGCAGCAGUGGGGAAUUUUCCGCAAUGGGCGAAAGCCUGACGGAGCAACGCCGCGUGAGGGAUGAAGGCCUCUGGGCUGUAAACCUCUUUUAUCAAGGAAGAAGAUCUGACGGUACUUGAUGAAUAAGCCACGGCUAAUUCCGUGCCAGCAGCCGCGGUAAUCUGAUGGCGCGAGG